CAUUGUUUUCAGCCCCUAGUUGUUUCACUGGCUGGUAACAGGGACAACUUCGUUUGCAGGGACGGUAUCAGCAGGAGGCAACUUCUUUGUAAGAGGCUUUGGUAUGUCGAGAUCGUCUAGCGAUAUUCGCUGCUGGGGGUGUGAUAACAACAGACACAUGCAACGGUAAAGAACACGUGCAACUCCCUGGCCACUCUCGAAAAUGUAGCCUUCGUGCUGGCUGAUGAGAUCAAGGGCAUCAACUAAGGCAUCAUACACCUCCUGUGGGCAGUUGUCAG
rnacentral:misc_RNA from 1 species